GAACCGACUAAUGUUGAAAAAUUAGCGGAUGACUUGUGGCUAGGGGUGAAAGGCCAAUCAAACUCGGAGAUAGCUGGUUCUCCCCGAAAGCUAUUUAGGUAGCGCCUCGGACGAAUACUACUGGGGGUAGAGCACUGUUAAGGCUAGGGGGUCAUCCCGACUUACCAACCCUUUGCAAACUCCGAAUACCAGUAAGUACUAUCCGGGAGACACACGGCGGGUGCUAACGUCCGUCGUGGAGAGGGAAACAACCCAGACCGCCAGCUAAGGUCCCAAAGUAUUGCUAAGUGGGAAACGAUGUGGGAAGGCUCAGACAGCUAGGAUGUUGGCUUAGAAGCAGCCAUCAUUUAAAGAAAGCGUAAUAGCUCACUAGUCGAGUCGGCCUGCGCGGAAGAUGUAACGGGGCUAAGCA
rnacentral:rRNA from 1 species